GCAUGAGACAGUUCUUAUUAUGGUCUGUUUCUAGUGCAGUGGAGAAGAUGAACCGUACACAGGUGUCUCAGAGGCUUUUGGUCCAGUUUUGAAAAGGAAGAAUGAACAAAUUAAAGUUAAAGCCAUCACCACUAUCCCUGCCCACUAGGCUGAAUGGACCCCUACAUCUGCUAAUGGUGAAGGGUGUGGAAAUUCUGACCUUGUGAGUUUUGAAAGAUCAGGAGAGUGACCCACAGGAAUCCAGGAAUCAGAACCUAGACUAGGUUUUGCAGCCAGCCAACACUGAUAUCCCAAGGAGCAAAGGGCAACCUUCAUUAGUAAUCUUCUGAACUUAGGCCAGUAGAAGCUGAGAUGAAAACUCAUCCAAUGGUAGAGAAGAGAUAUUUCAAUCUCCCAAGGUCACCCCAUGGAACUUUGAGGGGCAGAUAUAACAACCUGGGCCUGAGACAGAAAUUCAGAACAUACCGAAGACAAUAAUUUAUGCUUAAUUUUCCAAACUGUCAAGAUAAUUUCAAAUGCGAUUAUCUGUCAAAUAUUCACUAUUCUUCCCACAAUUUUGUCAUCUACAAAUUUAAUAGGCCUACCAUCUGUCUUUAGUCAAAUCAUUGGUAACUGAUUCUCAACCUCAAUGGCAAACCACCAGAGACCUUGUUUCAACUUGACUAGGGUGGUAGUUUUUAAGACUGGAGUGCAAGGGACAAUGUUACAGAGCCUGAUGAUAGAUUAGAUAGAGAAAAUGAAGGGAAGGAAAAAGUAAAAUGUAAUGUUAUCUCUCAUUUCCUGCUUUUUCCUGGCAGUAAGGGAGUAAAGUGAAAAGGGUAUUUUA